UACGGAGGGAGCUAGCGUUGUUCGGAUUCAUUGGGCGUAAAGGGUGCGUAGGCGGUGAGGUAAGUUGGAUGUGAAAUCCCGGAGCUUAACUCCGGAACUGCAUUCAAUACUGCCUUGCUAGAGUACUGGAGAGGAGAUUGGAAUUCACGGUGUAGCAGUGAAAUGCGUAGAUAUCGUGAGGAAGACCAGUGGCGAAGGCGAAUCUCUGGACAGUUACUGACGCUGAGGCACGAAGGCUAGGGGAGCAAACGGG
rnacentral:rRNA from 1 species